rnacentral:rRNA from 1 species
AUGGCCGUGCUCCUUCGCCACUGCUGCCCUUCCCUCUUCACAGCAGUGAUCCUGCUCUUGUUCUGUCCAUCUCCGGCGUCGCCUCAUGCUUUCUUCAUCUUCGGCGACUCCCUCGUCGACGCGGGCAACAACGACUAUCUCGUGACCCUCUCCAAGGCCAACACCCCGCCAUACGGCGUCGACUUCUCGUUUUCUGGCGGCAAGCCGACCGGGAGAUUCACAAACGGCAGGACCAUUGCGGAUGUCAUCGGUGAAGCCUUGGGGCAGGAGAGCUUUGCUCCUCCCUACUUGGCUCCAAACUCUAGUGCUGAAGUGAUCAACAGUGGAACCAACUAUGCUUCUGGUUCUUCCGGCAUUUUCGACGAGACCGGUUCCUUUUACAUCGGAAGGGUGCCACUCGGACAGCAAAUCAGCUACUUUGAGAAGACCAGAGCUCAGAUACUGGCGACCAUUGGGGAGAAAGCCGCGGCCGACUUCUUGGGGGAGGCGCUCAUCACGGUGGCUGCUGGAUCCAAUGACAUUUUGGAGUACCUCUCACCUUCAGUGCCAUUCUUCGGACGACAGAAGCCUGAUCCUGCAGAUUUUCAGGACGCCUUGGUUUCCAAGUUGGCAUUUCAUCUGAAGCGGCUGAACGAACUCGGGGCUAGGAAAUUUGUCAUCGCCGACGUCGGGCCGCUGGGCUGCAUACCGUACGUCCGCGCCCUGGAGUUCAUCCCUGCCGGGGAGUGUUCCGCAGCUGUGAACAAGCUCUGCGAAGGCUACAACAAGAGGCUGAAGAGGAUGAUCGGCAGGCUGAACCAGGAGAUGGGCCCGGAGAGCGCGUUUGUCUACACCAACACCCACGGCAUCGUCAUGGAGAUCAUUCGGCAGCACAGUCAAUACGGUUUCGAGGAGGCGCUGGACCCUUGCUGCGGCGGCAGCUUCCCGCCGUUCCUCUGCAUCGGCGUCGCCAACUCGAGCUCCGCCACCCUGUGCGAGGACCGCUCCAAGUACGUGUUCUGGGACGCGUUCCACCCGACCGAGGCCGUCAACUUCAUCGUCGCCGGCAGGAUCGUCGACGGCGGCGCCGCCGAUGCGUCGCCCGUCAACGUCCGCGCCUUGUUCCAGCGUCGAUACGGAUGA